rnacentral:lncRNA from 1 species
AGUCUUAUUAAUAUUUAUAAUUUAUUGUAGGGACUUCAGGCUAGUAGGAGAUUUGAAGACGGUAAGAGAUUUUUGAAUAUUAGAGAUAGAAGAUCAGUUUAAGUUCUAGCUUUAAAAAUUAUCAGGCUUGUAUUCAAUUCUCAUGUUAUUGUUCUUAGUGAUUGUCACUUUGGUCCUUCAUUUUUAUUGAAUAUAAUUUCUGUAGGCCUUUUGGCCA